rnacentral:rRNA from 1 species
GGCUCAGAACGAACGCUGGCGGCGUGUCUUAAGCAUGCAAGUCGUGCGGCAAGGGCAGCAAUGCCCCUAGAGCGGCGGACUGGUGAGUAACGCGUGGGUGAUCUGCCCUUGGGUUGGGGAUAGCCAUUAGAAAUAGUGGGUAAUACCGAAUACGUUCCCCUGACUGUGGUCGGGGGAGGAAAGGCGCUUCGGCGCCACCCGAGGAUGAGCCCGCGUCCCAUUAGCUAGUUGGUGAGGUAACGGCCCACCAAGGCGAUGAUGGGUAGGCGGCCUGAGAGGGUGUACGCCCACACUGGGACUGAGAUACGGCCCAGACUCCUACGGGAGGCAGCAGCUAAGAAUAUUCCGCAAUGGACGAAAGUCUGACGGAGCGACGCCGCGUGGAUGACGAAGGCCGAAAGGUUGUAAAAUCCUUUUGUUGGGGAAGAAUAAGCGUGGGAGGGAAUGCCCGCGUGAUGACAUGAACCGACGAAUAAGCCCCGGCUAACUACGUGCCAGCAGCCGCGGUAACACGUAGGGGGCGAGCGUUGUUCGGAAUUACUGGGCGUAAAGGGCAUGCAGGCGGCCUUGUAAGCCUGGCGUGAAAGUCACCGGCUCAACCGGUGGAUUGCGUCGGGAACUGCAGGGCUUGAGUCACGGAGGGGAAGGUAGAAUUCCUGGUGUAGGGGUGAAAUCUGUAGAGAUCAGGAAGAAUACCAGUGGCGAAGGCGACCUUCUGGCCGAUGACUGACGCUGAGGUGCGAAAGUGUGGGGAUCAAACAGGAUUAGAUACCCUGGUAGUCCACACUGUAAACGAUGUGCACUAGGUGCUGGGACGGAUGUUUCAGUGCCGGAGCUAACGCGGUAAGUGCACCGCCUGGGGAGUAUGCUCGCAAAGGUGAAACUCAAAG